rnacentral:rRNA from 1 species
UAAAGCAAGAAAGGGCGUAUGGGGAAUGCCUAGGCACACUCCGGCGAAGAAGGACGCAGCAAACAGCGAAAUGCGACGGUGAGCGGUAAGCACGUGAAGAGCCGUCGAUAUCCGAAUGGGGGAACCCACACGGAGUCAUAUCCGUGUAUCACAUGUCGAAUACAUAGACAUGAUGAGGCGAGACGCAGGGAACUGAAACAUCUAAGUACCUGCAGGAAGAGAAAAUAAGAAUGAUUUUCUGAGUAGCGGCGAGCGAAAGGGAAAGAGCCCAAACCGAUCUUAGGAUCGGGGUAGUAGGAUCAUCGAGAAAUCUGACAGAGGAUCAUAGAGGAAUCACAUGGGAAGGUGAGCGAGAGAGGGUGAGAGCCCCGUACUCGAAAUGAGAGACUGGAGAGAGAUGACACCUGAGUAGGGCGGGACACGAGAAAUCCUGUCUGAAUCGGCCGGGACCAUCCGGCAAGGCUAAAUACGAGAGAGUGACCGAUAGUGAACCAGUACCGUGAGGGAAAGGUGAAAAGAACCCCGGGAGGGGAGUGAAAGAGAACCUGAAACCCUAUGUUUACAAGCAGUGGGAGCGCAAGCGACCAUGUACUUUUUGUAGAACGGGCCGGCGAGUUACUGUGUGUAGCGAGGUUAAGGUGUAGAGCACCGGAGCCGUAGCGAGAGCGAGUCUCAAAUGGGCGAAUAGUUGCAUACAGUAGACCCGAAACCGGGUGACCUAUCCAUGGACAGGAUGAAGCGGUGGUAAAGCACCGUGGAGGUCCGAACCACACGUAUGUUGAAAAAUGCGGGGAUGAGCUGUGGAUAGCGGAGAAAUUCCAAUCGAACUCGGAGAUAGCUGGUUCUCCCCGAAAUAGCUUUAGGGCUAGCGUUAUCUUAGAUUACCGGAGGUAAAGCACUGAAUGGGCUAGGGGGCGAUAAGCUUACUGAACCCUAUCAAACUCUGAAUGCCGGCUAAUUGAUGAUCAGCAGUCAGACAGUGUGAGAUAAGUUUCAUUGUCAAAAGGGAAACAGCCCAGACCUACAGCUAAGGUCCCAAAUGUAUGCUAAGUGGAAAACGAUGUGGAGUUGCGAAAACAACCAGGAUGUUGGCUUAGAAGCAGCCAUUCAUUAAAAGAGUUCGUAAUAGAUCACUGGUCGAGUGACUCUGCGCGGAAAAUAUAACGGGGCUAAGUAUGCAACCGAAGCUUAGGAUUGUUCUUUGAACAGUGGUAGGGGAGCGUCGUGUACGGGGUGAAGUCGCAGCGGAAGCAGCGGUGGACUGUACAGGAGUGAGAAUGCCGGAAUGAGUAGCGAGAAUUAUGUGGGAAUCAUAAUGGCCGAAAAUCUAAGGUUUCUUGGGGAAGGUUCGUCCGCCCAAGGUAAGCCGGGAGCUAAGGCGAGGCCGCGAGGCGUAGUCGAUGCACAUACGGUAGAAAUUCCGUAGCCACCGAACUUUAAACCAGAAGGACACUUGCAGAUAGCGGAACCCAGCCGUUGGUUGAGCUGGGCGCAAGGGACUGAAAUAUAGUAGGGAAGUCCGCGAUGCUGUGAGGCGAGAAAAGCUCUGGCGUAUACUAAGGUGCCCGUACCGCAAACCGACACAGGUAGAUGAGGAGAGAAUCCUAAGGCCAACGGGAGAAGGGUUGUUAAGGAACUCGGCAAAUUGACCCCGUAACUUCGGGAGAAGGGGUGCUCCAGAGAUGGAGCCGCAGAGAAUCGGCCCAAGCAACUGUUUACCAAAAACACAGGUUUGUGCUAAAUCGAAAGAUGACGUAUACGAGCUGACGCCUGCCCGGUGCUGGAAGGUUAAGAGGAGAUGUGCAAGCAUUGAAUCGAAGCCCCAGUGAACGGCGGCCGUAACUAUAACGGUCCUAAGGUAGCGAAAUUCCUUGUCAGGUAAGUUCUGACCCGCACGAAAGGUGUAAUGAUCUGGGCACUGUCUCAACCAUGGACUCGGUGAAAUCUUAAUACCUGUGAAAAUGCAGGUUACCCGCAUCAGGACGGGAAGACCCCAUGGAGCUUUACUGUAGCUUGAUAUUGAGAUUCGGUAUGUUAUGUAGAGAAUAGGUGGGAGACUAUGAGACUAGGACGCCAGUUCUAGAGGAGUCACCUUUGGAAUACCACCCUUAAUGUAUUGGAUUUCUAACCUCGACCCAUGAUCUGGGCCAGGGACAGUGUCUGGUGGGCAGUUUGACUGGGGCGGUCGCCUCCCAAAAAGUAACGGAGGCGCCCAAAGGUUCCCUCAGAAUGGAUGGAAAUCAUUCGCAGAGCGUAAAGGUAUAAGGGAGCUUAACUGCAAGACCAACAAGUCGAGCAGAUACGAAAGUAGGGCUUAGUGAUCAGACGGUGCAGAAUGGAAUGGCCGUCGCUUAACGGAUAAAAGUUACCCUGGGGAUAACAGGCUGAUACCACCCAAUAGUUCACAUAGACGGUGGUGUUUGGCACCUCGAUGUCGGCUCGUCACAUCCUGGAGGUGAAGUCGCUUCCAAGGGUUGGGCUGUUCGCCCAUUAAAGUGGCACGCGAGCUGGGUUCAGAACGUCGUGAGACAGUUCGGUCCCUAUCCGAUGUGGGCGUAGGAAAAUUGAAGAGAGCUAUCCUUAGUACGAGAGGACCGGGAUGGACAAACCUCUGGUGUAUCUGUUGUCACGCCAGUGGCAGCGCAGAGUAGCUAUGUUUGGAAAGGAUAACCGCUGAAAGCAUCUAAGCGGGAAGCCAACUUUGAGAUGAGUUUUCCCAUACGAAAGUAGUAAGAUCCCAAAAAGACGAUUUGGUUGAUAGGCUGGAGAUGGAAGAAUGGUGACAUUUUGAGUUGACCAGUACUAAUAGAUCGAGGAUUUAAUCAU